rnacentral:tRNA from 1 species
UGCCAAAUAGUAUAAUGGAUAUUACGAAAGCCUCCGAAGCCUUUGAUAGCGGUUCGAUUCCGCUUUUGGCAACUA